CUCAUAAAUGCAAUUCUUUUAACUAAUAUAAAAAUGAAAACAUUUUAAACAAUAAUUUAGCUUUCAGUUUCUUUAGUUUUGUUGAGAAUUACUACUAGGAGAUGUAUUUUUCUAAUGGGAACAAGAAAUUAUGAGGUUUGCCUACAUUAAUUUUUAUUUUUGUUUGACAGGAACAAGUGUUGGACUUUAAGUUUGCACCAGGAAACCAAGUGUUAGUAGAAAAACUGUGCCAAGAUUUAAGAGAGAACAUGUGAACCUAACACAGCAAGAAGUCAAUGACAAACUUAAACAACUUGAUGAUUUCUCUACAGAAAGGCUGAGAUAUAAACUUGGCUUUGUUACUUACAAUACCUAUAUUUGGAAGAGUGGAGUUUGAAGACAAAGACAGUAAUUUUGUGGGUUUAAGAAGAAAAGGCCUUGAGAAUAUUUAAACAGUAAAAAUAGCAGUUAACCUUGAAGAGACUCUUUCAUGAAUAACUUGCCUCAAGAAAAGGAUCCAGGCCCCUGGAAAUAAGUACACUGGAAGAAUACAAUUAUUAUAUGAAAUUGAAAUGCAUACUUCGUGUGAUUGAGCUGAAUGAAGGUGGCUUACACCAUUUAUGUGGCACUGUAAGAGUCAAACUAGAGGCAAAAGUUGAAAGGCCGUUUAUUCAAUUCACAACCAAAUUAAAAGUUGCAGUGUAUGAAGAAUGCAAAGCGUUCCUGAAGACUCCACUACCACAAUCCUUUGUUUUGAAAGCAGUAUUAUCUAGAGCUUUUGUGACACAGACCCAGAGAACAGAGACCAUCAAUCUUCAACACAUUGUAUCUCAAGGUAUUGUUAAAAUAGUUGUCAAAUGGCAAAUGCUUAUUUUUAUUUUUUUAGAGACAGAGUCUCACUCUGUCACCCAGGCAGGAGUGCAGUGAUACGAUCAUACCUCGCUGCAGCCUUGAAGGCAAAUGAAUGAAUAAAAUAUAAUGUAUCAGUGGGAUUUUCCCCCAUUAUUCCAUCAAAUAACUUUCUUUUGUAUUGAUUUGCAAAAUAGUACAUUACUAAUUUCUAUUUGAUUUUGGUUUCAAGAAUGGCUUAUUUCCUUCAAGAAUCUUUUAUUUUUAGUCACAAAUAGACAAAUAAUUUGCC
rnacentral:lncRNA from 1 species